CUGAGUUAUUAAAACUCCAAACCCUUUGUGAACCUUACCGUCGUUGCCUCGGCGUGAGCUACGGCUACCCUGUAGUUACCCUAUAGUUACCCUGUAGUUACCCUGCAGCUACCCUAUAGUUACCCUGUAGCUACCCUGUAGCCGGCUUAUGGCCCGCCGAAGGACCGCCAAACUCUUGUUUUUUAUUACUGUUUCUCUGAAUUGUAAACCUAAAUAAGUUA
rnacentral:misc_RNA from 1 species